CCUACGGGAGGCAGCAGUGGGGAAUAUUGCACAAUGGGCGCAAGCCUGAUGCAGCAACGCCGCGUGAGGGACGACGGCCUUCGGGUUGUAAACCUCUUUUAGUAGGGAAGAAGCGAAAGUGACGGUACCUGCAGAAAAAGCACCGGCUAACUACGUGCCAGCAGCCGCGGUAAUACGUAGGGUGCAAGCGUUAUCCGGAAUUAUUGGGCGUAAAGAGCUCGUAGGCGGUUUGUCGCGUCUGCUGUGAAAACUGGAGGCUCAACCUCCAGCCUGCAGUGGGUACGGGCAAACUAGAGUGCGGUAGGGGAGAUUGGAAUUCCUGGUGUAGCGGUGGAAUGCGCAGAUAUCAGGAGGAACACCGAUGGCGAAGGCAGAUCUCUGGGCCGUAACUGACGCUGAGGAGCGAAAGCAUGGGGAGCGAACAGGAUUAGAUACCCUGGUAGUCCAUGCCGUAAACGUUGGGCGCUAGAUGUGGGACCAUUCCACGGUUUCCGUGUCGCNGCUACGCAUAGCGCCCGCCGUCGGGAGGUACGGCCGCGACGACGUAAACUUAAAUAGAAGUAGACGGCGNGAGACGNGCCGACGGACGACGACGAGGGAGGUAGG
rnacentral:rRNA from 1 species